rnacentral:lncRNA from 1 species
UCUUGGCUUAUACGGUGCUUGCACGGAAGGACAACACUCAUGUGACGCAGCAGGAGCUGUUCAUGAUUUGGGGGAUGCUCACACGCACCCCAAUGGAUUUGACUCAAAUACUCCUCAAGCAGUUGUUCAAGGCAUCCAGCGCGACCAGAGGAGUGAUUACAAUUGGAGGGAUGAUUACACCCCUUGCCCGACGUAUUUGUCCCGCC